AUACGUAGGGAGCAAGCGUUGUCCGGAUUUACUGGGUGUAAAGGGUGCGUAGGCGGCUCUGCAAGUCAGGCGUGAAAUAUAUGGGCUUAACCCAUAGACUGCGUUUGAAACUGUGGAGCUUGAGUGAAGUAGAGGUAGGCGGAAUUCCCGGUGUAGCGGUGAAAUGCGUAGAGAUCGGGAGGAACACCAGUGGCGAAGGCGGCCUACUGGGCUUUAACUGACGCUGAGGCACGAAAGCAUGGGUAGCAAACAGGAUUAGAUACCCUGGUAGUCCAUGCCGUAAACGAUGAUUACUAGGUGUGGGGGGUCUGACCCCUUCCGUGCCGGAGUUAACACAAUAAGUAAUCCACCUGGGGAGUACGGCCGCAAGGUUGAA
rnacentral:rRNA from 1 species